rnacentral:rRNA from 1 species
UACGUAGGGGGCAAGCGUUGUCCGGAUUUAUUGGGCGUAAAGAGCGUGUAGGCGGCUUGGUAGGUCCGCUGUGAAAACUCGAGGCUCAACCUCGAGAUGUCGGCGGAAACCACUUGGCUAGAGUCCGGAAGAGGAGAGUGGAAUUCCCGGUGUAGAGGUGAAAUGCGCAGAUAUCGGGAAGAACACCUAUGGCGAAGGCAGCUCUCUGGGACGGUACUGACGCUGAGACGCGAAAGCGUGGGGAGCGAACAGG